UGCUGUUUAAAAUGAAUGGAUCUCUAUUUCAAGAUGGCAUGUCUAGUACACUUACGUGCACCGCCUCACAAGCACACUGAAAUGACAGAAAAGGUAAGAAAAUAGAUGCAUAGACAAAAGAUUACAGAGAAAGGUGCUAUUAACAAAUGUGUUAUGUUACAGUUUCUUGGAACUUCCCAAGCAGAUGGGAAUUAUGAAACCAAAAGAAAAAUGACAUUCAUAGAAGAAGAAAUAAAAUUUGCCAAUAAGGUUAUUAAUAGAUGUUUAACAUCACUAACUGGACAUACUGCCAGUUGAAACAAUGAUGGCUGGGUGCAGUGGCUCACACCUGUAAUUCCGGCACUUUGGGAGGCUGAGGCAGGAGGACUGUUUGAGCCCAAGAGUCUGAGACCAGCCUGGGCAACAUAGCGAAACCCUGUCUCUACAAAAAAUACAAAAAUUAGCUGGGUGUGGUGGUGUCUGCCUGUAGUCUUGGCUACUCAGGAGGCUAAGGUGGGAGGAUCACUUGAGCCCAGGAGGACAAGACUGCAGUGAGCCGUGACUGUGCCACUGCAUACCAGCUUGGGCAACAGAGCAGAGCUGUUUCAAAACAAAACAAAACAAAACAGAACAGAAGAACAGAACAGAACAGAACAGGACACAAUGAGAACAUUUUUCAUCCAUCCAAUUGGCAAAUAAUUUCUAGAGCUGGUGAGAAGAUGGGGAAAUUGGAAUGUUUGGUCCCCGCUGGUGGGUGUGUUGUUGGUACAGCAUUUUUGGAUGGCAAUUUGGCAGUAUCAAGAUUUUAGGUGAAUAUACUCUUAGACCUAACAACUUCUUCUUAGAACGAACCUACAAAAAAUAGACAAGGAUAAGUGCAACGAUGUUCACUGUGGCGUGGGUUAGUAACAAUAAAACCUCCUAAACAUCUGCCAAAGGAAUAAUGGUUAAAUAAGGUAUGGCACGUGCAGUCUGUGGAAUUCCAGGCAGUUAUUAUAGACAAUGAGCUGGAUCCAUGUGAACUGAUGGGGAAGGAUGUUCCCACUACAGAAUAUAAGCACAUGAGGGCAGGGUUUUGCAUUUGCUUCCUCCUGUCUCCCUAAUGCCUAGAACAGUGUCAGACACAUAGUGCAUGCUCAGAAAGUAUUUGUCAAAUGAAUGGAUACACUUUCUAGGACACUAUGAAUUAGGACAAUGGACUGAAAAAUAAGCAGAAAAUUUAAACACACCAGUGACCACAGUGCAACUGCAACUGACGAUCAGUUUCCACCAAACUGCAACAGAGAGAGUGGCUUUGCCGGUGAGUUCUGUCAAACUACUGUGUUAUUUAAACAUUAUUUGGCCUUACAACUAAGGUGAGGCCCUUGGGCCUCUACUGAAGGCCCAAUGUGUUCAACAAGGGCUCUCCAUGCUGCCUAAGGGAACACAUCUGAUUUGCAGCCCUGAAUGAACUCUGGGACUCAUUCAUCAUGCAUGUACUUUCCUCAGAAGUUGCUCUUACCCAGCCUUGCGGGGCUGCAGCCAGAUCUCCCACGAGUGGUAAUGUAACAUGAAAACAAUGAGCCACAUCUUCAAAAUUCCAAAGGAAAAUGACCCUCAACCUAGAGUUUCCUAUCUAGGCAAGUAUUAAUCAAGUGUAAGGGCAGAAUAAUGACACUUCCAGAUGAGAGGUAUACAAAUUUACCUUACCUGCACCCAUUUACAAGAAGCUAGUGAAGGUUGUGCUCUUUAAAACAUGAUGGAAUUUACCAAGAAAGAGGAGGACUUGGCUUAGGAAAGAGAAGAUCCAGUAGAGAAGGGGAGUGACAGGAAUCUGCAGGAAAUGAUGAAGGGCAAUCCCAGGAUGUUAGCUGCACACCAGAGAUGAGGAGACAGACUAGGACCCCUGCUCCAUUAGACCUCCAGGUCCCAAACACCAGGUGAGCCAGGGCCUUGGCCUGUCUUGCCCAUGGCUGAUGAAGUGUUGUACUCUCUAUCAAACCCUGCAGUCUGGGCCAGCUGAGGACUCUCCUUGGAACCCAAAGAAGCAGUUUGUUUCCACCUACUCCCAAGAGCUGAAGAUUAUAAGCCAGAAGCAAACAAAGGCAGGCAAGGAAAUUUGAGGUUGUUGCAUCUGGAAGUAAACAUGUAGCUACUUCUUCUAAUAAAACAGAGGUCAGCAACCGAGAGCAGGAAGGAGGCACAGCAACAACAGAACAACAACAAGAGGCUGCGACAGGGGCGGCGUGGGUCAAAAGGAAGCAACCUGGAGGACGGUCCUCCUUGCGGCUUGGAGCAGAGCUUCAGGUUGGGCACCACGACAGAGCUGGGCCAGAAGUCUAACACAGCCUGUUUGGAACACAACCCGGGAUACUUGUGUGGUUGGGUUCAGUCAGUCAAGGGAAACAAGAAGCUAACCCGUGGCUGGGAGUGUUCAUGCAAUGCUCGUGGAAUACUCAGCGCAAAGCCUGCCCGCAAGCACAAAGGGUAUCAAGGAAGAGUUAAAUGGGAAGUUGGGUCAUGGUGUGGAAUCAUAUUAAGCUCUUAGGUGCUCUGACCCUGGAGGAGAGGGAUUUCACUGAGAUGAGAAGGAUGCGUGAUGGGAUCCAUGGGCACUGGAGGCUUAUAUUUCCCUCUCAUGCCAUGCUCAAGUGAUGGGAGGGCAGAGGCAUGAGAGGGUGCUAAGGGACUAAACGCCAUGGCCACAGGAGCUCUGGCCAAGGCCCCAGGAGUCAAGAAGUGCACAGAGGGCAUGGAUGCGUUGGAAAGGGGAGGUGCUGGCCUUUUAAAGAUCAUAUGGCUUGGACAAGGAACAUGCAUGAGAGAAGUACUGGACUUUUCAUUUCCUGCCCUGGGCCUUGCCAGUGGAGGAGCACUGAGAUCUGCUAUAAUCAACACUCUUAUUGGAAGCAUUACUGUUCCGUGAAAAAUCGCCUGUGCCUGGGCUUCUCUUGC
rnacentral:lncRNA from 1 species